rnacentral:rRNA from 1 species
UACGUAGGGUGCAAGCGUUGUCCGGAAUUAUUGGGCGUAAAGAGCUCGUAGGCGGUCUGUCGCGUCGGCUGUGAAAUCCCGAGGCUCAACCUCGGGUCUGCAGUCGAUACGGGCAAACUAGAGUAUUGCAGGGGAGACUGGAAUUCCUGGUGUAGCGGUGAAAUGCGCAGAUAUCAGGAGGAACACCGGUGGCGAAGGCGCUCAUCUGGCCCAAUACUGACGCUGGAAGCGCGAAAGCUAGGGGAGCAAACGGG